rnacentral:rRNA from 1 species
UACAGAGGUCUCAAGCGUUGUUCGGAUUCAUUGGGCGUAAAGGGCGCGUAGGCGGCGGGGUAAGUCGGGUGUGAAAUCUCAGAGCUCAACUCUGAAACUGCACUCGAUACUGCUCUGCUUGAGGACUGGAGAGGAGACUAGAAUUCACGGUGUAGCAGUGAAAUGCGUAGAUAUCGUGAGGAAGACCAGUGGCGAAGGCGGGUCUCUGGACAGUUCCUGACGCUGAGGCGCGAAGGCCAGGGGAGCAAACGGG